rnacentral:rRNA from 1 species
UACGACCCGUCCAAACGUUAUUCGGAUUCAUUGGGCUUAAAGGGUACGUCGGCGGCGCCAUUCGUCGGGUGUGAAAGCCCUCGGCUCAACCGAGGAACUGCGCCCGAUACUGUGGUGCUUGAGGGAGACAGAGGUAAGCGGAACUGAUGGUGGAGCGGUGAAAUGCGUUGAUAUCAUCAGGAACACCGGUGGCGAAGGCGGCUUACUGGGUCUCUUCUGACGCUGAGGUACGAAAGCUAGGGGAGCGAACGGG